UCUCUUGAGCGGUGGUAGAUGUCUGCUGUCGUGUGGGUCUUUCUCUCCCUCCCUCUCGCUGUGCAGGUUUGACUUUGAAAACAGGGAAUGCUCAUCAGCUGGCCGAAGUCUACCGGUGGUGAUUGAUGUGAUUCCACCACCAGCUGAUUGGGGCCGCGUCUGUUUUGUCUCCACUGCUAAAUGCUGCUAAUUGUACAGCUUUCUCUGCUGCUAACUACACAGUCUACUCUCUGCUGCUGAAUGUAUAGCUUUGCCUACAGAGCCUUAUCUGCUGCUGUGCCUCGGCUGCUAACUGCAGCUUUGGUUUUUGCCGCGAACUACACAGCGUGUCGCUACUGCUUGGCACUGUUGUUGCUGGCUUUUGGUGCGCAUGGUGAAUUGCCAA